UUACUGCUAUCGAGGUCCGACUAAGCCAUGCGAGUCGAAUGUAGCAAUACAUGGCAUACUGCUCAGUAACACGUGGACAACCUACCCUCGGCACGGGGAUAAACCCGGGAAACUGGGUAUAAUACCCGAUAGUUCUGGUUAGCUGGAAUGCUUCCAGGACGAAAGCUCCGGCGGCCGAGGAUGGGUCUGCGGCCUAUCAGGUAGUAGUGGGUGUAACGUACCUACUAGCCUACGACGGGUACGGGUUGUGAGAGCAAGAGCCCGGAGAUGGAUUCUGAGACACGAAUCCAGGCCCUACGGGGUGCAGCAGGCGCGAAAACUUUACAAUGCUGGCAACAGCGAUAAGGGGACCUCGAGUGCCAGGAUACAAUCUUGGCUGUCGUGAUGCCUAAAAAGCAUUGCAUAGCAAGGGCCGGGCAAGACCGGUGCCAGCCGCCGCGGUAACACCGGCGGCUCGAGUGGUAACCGCUAUUAUUGGGUCUAAAGGGUCUGUAGCCGGCC
rnacentral:rRNA from 1 species